rnacentral:piRNA from 1 species
UGAGGAUUUUUAUGACUCUCAUGGGGAU